AGUGAACGCUGGCGGUAGGCCUAACACAUGCAAGUCGAACGGCAGCACAGUAAGAGCUUGCUCUUACGGGUGUCGAGUGGCGGACGGUUGAGGAAUACAUCGGAAUCUACUUUUUCGUGGGGGAUAACGUAGGGAAACUUACGCUAAUACCGCAUACGACCUACGGGUGAAAGCAGGGGAUCUUCGGACCUUUCGCGAUUGAAUGAGCCGAUGUCGGAUUAGCUAGUUGGCGGGGUAAAGGCCCACCAAGGCGACGAUCCGUAGCUGGUCUGAGAGGAUGAUGCGCCACACUGGAACUGAGACACGGUACAGACUCCUACGGGAGGCAGCAGUGGGGAAUAUUGGACGAUGGGCGCAAGCCUGAUCCAGCCAUACCGCGUGGGUGAAGAAGGCCUUCGGGUUGUAAAGCCCUUUUGUUGGGAAAGAAAAGCAGCAGGUUAAUACCCCGCUGUUCUGACGGUACCCAAAGAAUAAGCACCGGCUAACUUCGUG
rnacentral:rRNA from 1 species